AAGUCGUAACAAGGUUUCCGUAGGUGAACCUGCGGAAGGAUCAUUAAAAAAAUCUUUAAUAUGGAGAACCGCAAGGUUCUCUAACUAUUUUGUGAAAUGUGUGAAUAGUAUGGUAGUUUUGUGCGCGUACUUUGUGCUGUUUGAGGGUGUUAACUUCACUCUCUCUCUUUUAUUACAAUCACAAAAUACAUCCAUAAGACUUGCUGUACUAUUUAUUUUAAUACAUGUUAUAUAUUGAUGAAGUAUGUGAAUAUAAUAUUAAAGGUGGUAUAAUAACCCCCUUUUAAUAUGAUAUAAUAUAUAUACAACUUUCAACAGUGGAUCUCUCGGCUCUU
rnacentral:misc_RNA from 1 species